GUCGAGCGGAAAGGCCCUUUCGGGGGUACUCGAGCGGCGAACGGGUGAGUAACACGUGAGUAAUCUGCCCUUGGCUUCGGGAUAGCCACCGGAAACGGUGAUUAAUACCGGAUACGACACAUCACUGCAUGGUGCGUGUGUGGAAAGUUUUUUCGGCCAGGGAUGUGCUCGCGGCCUAUCAGCUUGUUGGUGGGGUAAUGGCCUACCAAGGCUUCGACGGGUAGCCGGCCUGAGAGGGUGACCGGCCACACUGGGACUGAGACACGGCCCAGACUCCUACGGGAGGCAGCAGUGGGGAAUAUUGGACAAUGGGCGGAAGCCUGAUCCAGCAACGCCGCGUGAGGGAUGACGGCCUUCGGGUUGUAAACCUCUUUCAGCACAGACGAAGCGCAAGUGACGGUAUGUGCAGAAGAAGGACCGGCCAACUACGUGCCAGCAGCCGCGGUAAUACGUAGGGUCCGAGCGUUGUCCGGAAUUAUUGGGCGUAAAGGGCUCGUAGGCGGUUUGUCGCGUCGGGAGUGAAAACACCGGGCUUAACUCGGUGCUUGCUUUCGAUACGGGCAGACUAGAGGUAUUCAGGGGAGAACGGAAUUCCUGGUGUAGCGGUGAAAUGCGCAGAUAUCAGGAGGAACACCGGUGGCGAAGGC
rnacentral:rRNA from 1 species